rnacentral:misc_RNA from 1 species
GGAGAUUUUAUAGUUCAUAGACCCAUGACGAGAUCCUUAACUCGUGAACAUAACACACUACCUCAAAACAUCUUUUCCAACCAAUUUUACUCAACAAAACGCUUUGCCCCAUUAUCUUAGCAAUUACAAUCAAUGUCACAAGCCACAUCACUCCAAAUUGUUGCAUCACCAUCUUUAAAAUCAUCCAAAAAAUUCUUAAAUUUCUCGAGUCCCCCAAUCAUGGAUUGAUACAAGAGUAUCAUCUCUCAAAUAUAUAUACAUGCCGCUACUUGUCAUACUAGCAUUUUUU